UACGGAGGGGGCUAGCGUUGUUCGGAAUUACUGGGCGUAAAGCGCGCGUAGGCGGAUCUGCAAGUCGGGGGUGAAAUCCCGAGGCUCAACCUCGGAACUGCCUUCGAUACUGCGGGUCUCGAGUCCGGGAGAGGUGAGUGGAAUUCCUAGUGUAGAGGUGAAAUGCGUAGAUAUCUGGAGGAAUACCGGUGGCGAAGGCGGCAUCCUGGACCGACAUUGACGCUGAGGAGCGAAAGCUAGGGGAGCAAACGGG
rnacentral:rRNA from 1 species